CAUUAACGCUUCGAAUAUAAACUGAAUAUGAAGUUUUUAGUUAUCGUCUUUAUAUUGGUUCUCUUCUGUUAUUGUCUCGGAUUGCAGAAAAGUCAGAAAUGCUUGGAGCCUAUGGUUAAAGGACCCUGUGUUGGUCGUGUUGACAGAUACUUUUACGAUUACCGUACCAAUAAAUGUGUCCGCUUUUCUUACAGUGGAUGUGGCAACAACGCCAACAAUUUUAAAGAAUAUAAAGAUUGCGCGAGUGCAUGUAAAAAGACGUAUGCUAGAACUACUAAAAAACGAUAAAAACGAACAAUUUAAGCUGUUAGAAGAUUGUGAUUUAUCUUCUUAUGAUGUAACGAAAAACCAAAAGUGUACAAAAAAGUGGGCAUGCUUUUUUUGCUUAGCUAGUUUCGGUUACCUUUAGUUUUACGAUUGUAGAAUACUACUUUUUUGGAAUGCACUUUGAGAAUAACCUAA